rnacentral:rRNA from 2 species
GUCAUAUGCUUGUCUCAAAGAUUAAGCCAUGCAUGUCUCAGUACAAGCCAAAUUAAGGUGAAACCGCGAAAGGCUCAUUAAAUCAGUUAUGGUUCCUUAGAUCGUACCCACAAUUACUUGGAUAACUGUGGUAAUUCUAGAGCUAAUACAUGCAAACAGAGCUCCGACCGGAGACGGAAGGAGUGCUUUUAUUAGAUCAAAACCAAUCGGUGGCGGGUUCGCUCGUCAUCGUACAACUUGGUGACUCUGAAUAACUUUACGCUGAUCGCACGGUCAUCGCACCGGCGACGCAUCUUUCAAAUGUCUGACUUAUCAACUGUCGAUGGUAGGUUCUGCGCCUACCAUGGUUGUAACGGGUAACGGGGAAUCAGGGUUCGAUUCCGGAGAGGGAGCCUGAGAAACGGCUACCACAUCCAAGGAAGGCAGCAGGCGCGCAAAUUACCCACUCCCGGCACGGGGAGGUAGUGACGAAAAAUAACGAUACGGGACUCAUCCGAGGCCCCGUAAUCGGAAUGAGUACACUCUAAACCCAUUAACGAGGAUCUAUUGGAGGGCAAGUCUGGUGCCAGCAGCCGCGG